rnacentral:lncRNA from 1 species
UUUCAAACUUGAAAUUUUUUUUUUUUUGAGAGAGAUAGGUAGUAUACUAACCGCUUCAUUUAUUUCAUUUAGAAAUAAACUUAGCUGGAAAUAUGAAUCAACUAGGAUUCGAACUUGGGUCUCGAAUACCAACCACCAAAUCCUUUGCCACUUCCUUUAGGGAUGGUCGGUUCGAACUUGAAAUUUGAAUACCAAAUAU